UACUAUAAGGUCAAGUAAUCAAUUACAUGAGUUAAAGUGACAAAUUUGAUCAUUCGUUGUACUAAAAACUAUUCAACUGAAAUAAGCAUAGCAUGAGGUUUUUCACAAUAUAAAGUGAUCAAACACUUUUUUAUUUGUUGCAUGCAAAGGUAGAGUAAAAAAUGGCUAAAAAGCGCGAGGUUUUUUAUAUUAUGAUCCUUUUUGUGUUCCUAUUUCUUGCUCUAGUCGAUGGUGGUGCUGUACCAUGUAAGUCAGACGAAGAUUGUCUAAAUUUCGAGUGUCCCCUUUACGGUCGUGGAAUUUGUGUCGAGGGUAAUUGUAGGUGCUUGUGGGGUUGAAUUAAAGGUUAAAUUCAACAUGAUCAUGACAAGCAAGCAAUAGAGCUUUUCUUGUGGAACUGAUGUACUAAAGGCUUGUACUUCACUUUAUUUUAAGUGUUUUUUUUUACUAUCGUUGAUUUUGUGGUAUGGAUAGAAAUCUUUGUACUUCAAUAGUAUCUUUUGAAUAAGUUACUCUAUUUAAUAAUUAUUUGUAUUGUUUAAGAUUUAGUAUUUACACUUGUUUUAGUUUUAAGUUUUCAAAGUUAUGAGUUAUAAAAUUAUUGUUAUUAUUUAUAAAAAAAUAUUAUGUUUUUGAAAUGUGCAAACUUAUAGUGUGUUUA